ensembl:lncRNA
AAACUCUGCCCAGUGUCUCUGCCUGAUGCAAAUCGGCCCUGGAAAAGCUCUCUGACCCCCAGCCGAGCUCCCCACUGCGCAGAUUGGAGGCUAACCCGGGCUGCGUCCUCCUGCUGUGCAGGAUCACAACCGCCCCAAGGAAAAGCCCGUACUGCGGGUUGGGGCUGCGCGCUUGUGCUGAGAUCUGUGCCUUCACCCUCGGUUUGAGACUCUCCUCGGAACCUAAUUUCUCUCCCCGUCUGUGCCGAUCUCCCCCCUGGCCCCGGAACCAACCUUUUUUGGCGAGACUGCAUAUUUUCUUCGGCCGGUGAGUUGUUAUACUUCUUAUCUUUACAAAUUGUAGCAGUCAAGACUAUUUUUGAGGCUCGAUAUAAUAUUGAUAAAGAGGGUAAGAGAAGAGCUUAGAAAGUCGCGUGUGUCUUCUCCGCCAUCUUGGCUCCGCCCCCCCACAAUUGUGUUUUGAUGACAUCCCCUUUUGUUUGGUGAAAGGUUCUUCAGUCUUCUGCUCAGUUGUCAAAUCUUUACAGUAUCUGUGAAAUGAAAAUGUCUUAGACUGAGGCCAUUUCCUAACUCCAGCUGCCUCAGGGCUUAUUAAUUGUUGAUUCCACAGAGUUGGCUUGGAUGUGUUUGCACUUCACUCAAAUUGCACUUCUGUCCCAGGGAAGCCAGGUCUUUCCUUUGCAUCUUCUAAAGUUGUCUAAGGAGAAAAACUGCUUUAAUCUGAUUUGUGUUCAUUGCCACUGCUCCAAAUCGCCUCUGAGGAAUUGUUGGUUUUUUGGGGAGGAAAUUUGGAGAGUCAAAAGUUUUUUGUUCUACUCUAUCAUCUUCUCCUCAAAAGUCAGAAGAAUUUGAAAGACGGGAGAUUAAUUUAGAAUUUGUAAAAUUUUAAAAUAAAUUUAUAAAUUAUAUUUCAGAAUACACAAGAUUUUAAAGAUAACUUUUUGAUGAAUAAAUAAAAAAACUGAAUUAGUAGCAUCCAGUCUUGAAAUCCUUGGGUCUGAUCUAUAAGAAGAUUGAUAAUCCACAAUAUUUGGAUAGAUGAAAAAUGAGGUCAUAUAAAUAAGUUGUCCCAAAAAACUUACUGUAGUUUUAAACUUUAUUGGAUUAAAAGUGAAUUAAGUCUUUUGAGAAAUGCCAUAUUUAUCUACAAAUGUUAUCUUUGAAAGAAAUAGGGGAUUAGGUUGUUAAAUCCCAGACAACUUUGAAAAGCAAACUAAGAAAAGAUAAAUAAGGGAUGGGGGAAAAUGAAAAAAAAAGUUAUGGGGUUUUGUAUAUGUUCAGAUCAUCUAAGAUGGAGACACUUAUGUGGAAGAUGUCAGGGAUCUUCUGAGAGAAGACAUUCUGCAUUUUACCAUGUGGAUAAGAAUAACCUCUUUCCAUUUGCUACUGGAAUAGAUAGCAUCUUUAAAAAUAUCAUAUUGAGGCAAUCUUAUUCUCUCUCAGCACUUUGGUGCUGUCCAAGAGGUAAAGAAGUUCAUUCAUUUGAAGUAUGAGCACUAUAACUUAAGCUGGGGAUAAGGGAAGAUCCAUUCCCCUUCCAUCUUAGGUAGGUACUGUGGUCCAGAGAAAUUGAAUUGGAGUUUUAUUCUUUUUCAUUUGGAGUCAGAGUUCAAAGCCCUAUUUUGUUGCACUGAGGGAAAUUUUCUAUGUUUACUUUUGCUAUGUCUUUUUAAAAUAAAAAAUAUUUAAUGUUUUAUUUUCUUCAAAUUACAAAUUCCUAUGUUAUAUAGAUUCAUAUCCAUAUAUAUACACAUAUUUAUAUGUGUAUAUAUACACAUGUCUAAAACAUACACAUGAGACACACACACAGAGAAAGCGGGAGAGGGAGAGAGAGAGAGAGUAGAAAUAGUCCUGGAUGCAGUGGAAGACUUGGCCAAUUAAAGCCUAAUCUUUCCCAGGUCUCAAUUUGAUUGAGGCAUGCCAAAUCUUACCUAAUACAUAGUAAAAAAUGAGACCAAAAAUGGCCUCUUUUACCUAGUGAAAAAUGAAAAGAAAAGAAAAAUCAUUCCAAGAAGGGAAUGCCCUCAGAGUUUCUGAACUAAAUGAAAGAAAAAAUUUAAGAGAAAGAAAGAAAGGGAGGAAUGAAGAAAGAAAGAAAAGGAGGAAGGAAGGAGAAAGAAAAAAGAAAGAAGGAAUGAAGGAAGGAAGAAAGAGGGAGAGAAGAGAAGAAGAAAGGAAGGUAAGUAGGUAAGGAAGGAAAGAAAGAAAAAAAAGAACUUUUUAAGACAACUCUCAAACUAUUAACUAUAGAAAAGAUGCUGAUAUGGAUCUGUAUAGGUGUAAUGUCUGGACUAGCUCUCUGGAAGAUCUCAAUACCAGCCCAAGUCCUUGAUCUUAGGAGAUGAGUGAAGGGGUGGGACCCACAUGGAUGGUCAAAAAUGGAGUCUAUUUCACGUUAUCUCAAUCUUAAAUACCCUAGAAUAAUUACAGCACUACAGCAUACUGUGCUAUACUGUGUAACUAUACAUGGCAUGAGUCAACUAUGAAAUGCUGAGCAUGCUGGGCCACAUAAGCACCUUGCUGCUAUUAUGUAGAUGCCUCUUUGCUGCAAGUAUCUCUGCUUCAAGUAGAAUUCAGGUUGUGUGUGUGAGACAACCCCUGACUUCUCAGGAAGGCUGAGAUAUCCUGAAGGGGAGAUGAGAGCUGAACCAGAUUUUGUCAGCAUAUUUCUCCUGGAUUGAAGAGUCUUAUAUCUCACCCAGAGUUCCCCCCACUAUCUGUGGCCCUGUACAUAUAGGGAAUUACAGUACUCAUUUUAUAGAGCUAUUGGUAUAAGAACUAUAAGUUCCUAUACUAAUGAAAUUACAACUCUAUUCCCUACCCCUAUUCUUAUUCUUACAUUAUAUAAAUAUGUAUUGUAGAACAAAAGACUAACCAUAAUUGUAAGGAAUAGCAAGGUGUUUGUGUGUAUAUAUAUUCUGAUUUUAUGUAUUAAUUGAUGAGAAUCAGGAAAGUAAUUCCUUGUUAAGGACUAUGCUUAAGUGUAAAGGGGCAGGUUGAUUCUCUGUAAGCCCUCACAGCUGUGAAUCAUAAGGAAUCACAAGUCAACCUUUACUGAUACAGAUGUUGCUUGUGAAUUGGGAAUGAAAUAAAUUGGAGGCAAGAGAGAAGAGAGAGGUCAGAGAAUGCAACUGCCUCUCAGUCUCUUGUAGAGUUAUCCUCUCACAUGAAGGGAUCUAUUCUGCUGGUCAGAAUUAGAUCCCCAGCAACCACUGGUGGCUCCCAUAACACCCACCAGCCACCAGCAGGUUGCUCCCAUAACAAAAAUUCCUGAUGCAAAAAGCAAAGAGCAGGGCAGAGCCAAGAUGGCAAAGACACGUGUCUUCCUAGACUCUCCUUUUCCUUCAACCAAUUUUAAUUAAAUUUAGCCUCAGAAUUAUUACUUGACUGUCAGAACCCAUGAAUAUUGGGAGUACAACACAUUACCAACCAAAAAUAAUCUUGUAAUUUGCCAGAAAAGGUCAUUUUUGCUCGUGCACGGGGAGCAGACUCAAGCAGGCAGUGAGAGCUCAGGCAAGAGCUCAGCUGAGCAGACUGGAGGUGGGUGGAGUGUAGUCUCUUCUGGUGGAAAAUCUGCAGGUAGAACUCUAUCACAGUGUGAACUACUCUGCCCUGACAGCAAGCCAGUAAAUCAGCAGAGAAGCAAUACACACAGCAAGUAAAGACUAUAACCCCAAAAUGCUAGAGUCUCUUGGGACCUGACUACACCCACCCAAUUCAGCAUGAUCCAAGUGCAGCUGGAGACGCUACUCCCAGUGCAAUUAAUGCCUUCCUACUGCCACUGAUUUCAGUGCAACUGCUAAUACCAAUGCAGCCUGUGGGUGCUGUCCCACUGCCACUUCAUUGCCACUUCCUGUUGUCUGUAGAGGGAAACUGGAAAUACACCACUAUCCCAAAAACAGACUGUAGCUUUUCUUUUCUUUUGGUUUACAGAUAAACUUCACACACCUCAUUAAAAAUUGGGAGGGAAAAAGUGAAAAGGGAAGGGGGAAUACAGAAAUUGUAAGGAAAAGGUUUAAGAAAAGGGGAGGGACUUUAAGGGAGAGGGAGGUACCCUAAAGAGGGAGGGCUGAGUGAGGCAAGUGGUACUCACAAGUUUAAUAGCAGGGAGGGGAGGAAGAGGAAAAGGAAAGAGAAAAGAAUAAUCUGGGAUUAACAAGAUAACAGGAAAUACAGAAUUACUAAUUUUAACCAUAAAUGUGAAUGGGGUAAACUCCCCCAUAAAGCAAAGGCAGAUAGCAGACUGGAUUAAAAGCCAUAAUCCUACAAUGUUGUUUACAGGAAACACACUUGAUACAGGGUGAUACAUACAGAGUAAUGGUAAAAGACUGGAAUCAAAUCUACUAUACUUCAGGUGAAGUAAAAAAAAAAAAAAAAAAAAAAAAAAGCAGGGGUAAGCCAUCCUUAUCUCAGAUCAAGCAAAAGCAAAAAUUAAUCUAAUUAAAAGAGAUAAGGAAGGGCACUAUAUCUUGCUAAAAGGUAGUAUAGAAAAUGAAGCAAUAUGAAUACUAAAUAUAUAUGCACCAAGUCAUAUACCAUCUAAAUACCUAAAGGAGAAGUUAAGAGAGUUCCAAGAAGAAAUAGACAGCAAAACUAUAACAGUGGGAGAUCUCAAUCUUGCACUCUCAGAACUAGAUAAGUCAAACCACAAAAUAAAUAAGAAAGAAGUUAAAGAGGCAAAUAGAACACUAUAAAAAUUAGGUAUGAUAGCUCUUUGGAGAAGACUGAAUGGAGACAGAAAGAAGUAUACUUUCUUCUCAGCAGUUCAUGGAACAAAUUGACCAUAUAUUAGGACAUAAAGACCUCAAAUUCAAAGGCAGAAAGGCAGAAAUAGUAAGUGCAUUAUUUUCAGAUCACAUUGCAGUACAAAUUACAUUCAAUAAAAAACCAGAGGGAAAUAGACCAAAAAAUAAUUGGAAACUAAAUAAUAUCAUCCUAAAAGAAUGAUUGGGUGAAACAGCAAAUCAUAGACACAAUUAAUAAUUUCACUCAAGAGAAUGACAAUAAUGAGACACCAUACCAAAAUAUGUGGUAUGCAGCCAAGGUGAUAAUAAGGGGAAAUUUUAUAUCUCUAGAGGUUUACUUGCUUAAAAUAGAGAAAGAGAAAAUCAGUGAUUUAGGCUUGCAACUAAAAAAGCUAGAAAAAGAGCAAAUUAAAAACCCCCAAUCAAACACUAAACUUGAAAUUCUAAAAAUAAAAGGAGAGAUCAAUAAAAUUGAAAGUAAAAAACUAGUGAAUUAAUUAAUAAAACUAAGAGGUGUUUUUAUGAAAACUCAACAAAAUAGAUAAACCUUUGGUAAAUUUGAUUAGAAAAAGGAAAGAAAAAAAUCAAAUAGUCUUAAAAACUAAUGAAGAGGAAAUUAGAGCAAUAUUUAGGAGUUACUUUGCCCAACUUUAUGCCAAUAAAUUUGAUAACCCAAAUGAAAUGGAUGAAUACCUUCAAAAAUAUAGGUUGCCCAGAUUAAAAGAGGAAGAAGUAAAUUGGUGAAAUAGUCCUAUUUUAGAAAAAGAAAUAGAACAAGCUAUUGAUCAGCUCCCUAAAAAAAAUCCCCAGGACCAGAUGGAUUUACAUGUGAAUUCUACCAAACAUUUAAAGAACAAUUAAUUUCAAUGCUACAUAAACUAUUUGACAAAAUAGGGAAUGAAGGAGUCCUACCAAAUUCCUUUUAUGACACAGUCAUGAGACUGAUACCUAAACCAGGUAGGAUGAAAACAGAGAAAAAAAAUUAUAGACCAAUGCCCUAAUGAAUGUCAAUGCAAAAAUCUUAAAUAAAAUCUUAGCAAAAAGAUUACAGAAAAUCAUUCCAGAAUCAUACACCAUGAUCAAGUCGGAUUUUAUACCAGGAAUGCAGGGUUGGUUUAAUAUUAGGAAAACUAUUAGCAUAACUGACUAUAUCAAUAAAGAAAAUGAACAAAAACCAUAUGAUCAUGUCAAUAGAUGACAGAAAAAGCAUUUGAUAAAUCCAACAUUCAUUCCUAAUAAAAACACUUGAGAGCAUAGGAAUAAAUGGAGUUUUCCUUAAAAUAGUCAGUAGCAUCUAUUUAAAACCAUUAAUAAGCUUCGUAUGUAAUGGUGAUAAACUGAAACCAUUCCCUGCAAAAAUCAGGAGUGAAACAAGGGUGCCCACUAUUACCAUUACUAUUCAAUAUUGUAUUAGAAAUGCUAGCUUCAGCAAUAAGAGAUGAAAAAGAAAUUAAAGGAAUUAGAGUAGGUAUUGAGGAAACCAAAUUAUCACUCUUUGCUGAUUAUAUGAUGGUAUAUUUAGAGAACACUAGAGAUUCUACUUAAAAGCUAUUAGAAAUAAUCCACAUGUUUAACAAAGUUUCAGGAUGCAAAAUUAACCCACAUAAAUCAUCAGCAUUCUUAUAUGUCACUAACAAAAUCAACAGUUAGAGCUACAAAAAGAAAUUCCAUUAAAGUAACUACCAAUAAUAUAAAAUAUUUGGGAAUGUAUUUGCCAAGGGAAAGUCAGGAAAUAUAUGAGCAAAACUAUAGAACAUUUUCCACACAAAUAAAGUAAGAUCCAACCAAUUGGAAAAAUAUUAAAUACCCUUGGAUAGGGUGAGCAACUAUAAUAAAGAUGACAAUACUACCCAUACUAAUCUAUUUAUUUAGUACUAUACAAAUCACACUCCCAAAAAACUAUUUUAAUGACUUGGAAAAAAUAACAACACAAUUCAUCUGGAAUAACAAAAGGUCAAGACUUUCAAAGGAACUAAUGAAAAAAAAUCACAUGAAGGUGGCCUAGCUGUACCAGAUCUAAAAUUAUAUUAUAAAGCAGCAGUUAGCAAAACCAUUUGGUAUUGGCUAAGAAAUAGACUAGUUGAUCAGUAAAAUUGGUUAGAUUCAAGGGACAAAACUGUCAACAACUUUAAUAAUCUAGCAUUUGACAAACCUAAAGGCCCCAGCUUUUGGGAUAAGAAUUCACUGUUUGCCAAAAACUCCUGGGAAAAUUAGAAAUUAAUAUGGCAGAAACUAGGCAUUGCCCCACACUUAACAUCAUACACCAAGAUAAGAUCAAAAUGGGUUCAUGAUCUAGGCAUAAAGAAUAACAUUAUAAAUAAAUUACAAGAACAUAGGAUAGUUUACCUCUCAGACCUGUGUAGAAGUGAUCAAAGAAAAACUAAAAAUCAUUAUUAAUCACAAAAUAGAAAAUUUUGGUUAUUUUAAAUUAAAGAGCUUUUGUAUAAACAAAAAUAAUGCAGACAAGAUUAGAAGAGAAGUAAUAAACUGGGAAAAUAUUUUUACAGCCAAAUAUUCUGAUAACAGCCUCAUUUCCAAAAUAUAUAGAGAACUGACUCCAAUUUAUAAGAAAUCAAGUCAUUCUCCAAUUGAUAAAUGGUCAAAGGUUAUGAACAAUUUUCAGAUGAAGAAAUAGAAAGUAUUUAUAGUCAUAUGAAAAGAUACUCCAAUCCAUUAUUAAUCAGAAAAUUCAGAUGAAAACAACUGUGAGUUAUCACUACACACCUGUCAGAUUGGCUAGGAUGACUUGAAGAGAUAAUGCUGAAUGCUGGAGGGGAUGUGGGAUAACUGGUACACUGAUACAUUCUUGGUGGAAUUGUGAAUACAUCCAGUCAUUCUGGACAGUGAUUUGGAAUCAUGCUCAAAAAGUUAUCAAACUGUGCAUACCCUUUGAUCCAGCAGUGUUACUACUGGGCUUAUAUCCCAAAGAGAUCUUGAAGAAGGGAAAGGGAUCUGUAUGUGCAAGAAUGUGGCAUCCCUCUUUGUAGUGGCCAGAAACUGUAAGCUGAGUGGAUGCCCAUCAAUUGGAGAAUGACUGAAUAAAUUGUGGUAUAUUAAAAGUAUGGAAUAUAUUGUUCUGUAAGAAAUGACCAGCAGGAUGAUUUCAGAAAGGCCUGGAGAAACUUACAUGAACUGAUGCUGAGUGAAGUGAGCAGGAUCAGGAAAUCAUUAUACACUUCAACUUUCAAAAUACUUUAUGAUGAUCAAUUCUGAUGGAGGUUGCUCUCUUCAAUAAUGAGAUGAACCAAAUAAGUUCCAUUUAUUCAAUAAUGAAUAGAACCAGCUGAGUGUGAACCACUACAUAGCAUUCCUAAUCCCUCUAUUUUUGUCCAUCGGCAUUUUUGAUUUGCUUCAAAGGUUAAUUGUAUAUUGUUUCAAAGUCCAACUUUUUUUAUGCAGCAAAAUAACUGUAUGGAUAUGUAUCCAUAUAUUGUAUUUAACAUAUAUUUUAACAUAUUUAACAUGUAUUGGUCUACCUGCUCUCUGAGGGAGAGGGUGAGGGGAAGGAGGGGAAAAAUUGGAACAAAAGUGUUUUUUUUGUUGUUGUUGUUGUUGUUGUUUUUUUAAAUAGCCUUUUAUUUACAGGUUAUAUAUAUGGGUAACUUUACAGCAUUGACAAUUGCCAAACCUCUUGUUCCAAUUUUUCCCCUCCUUCCUCCCACUUCCUCCCCCCCCCCCGAGAUGGCAGGAUGACCAGUAUAUGUUAAAUAUAUUAAAAUAUAAAUUAGAUACACAAUAAGUAUACAUGACCAAACUGUUAUUUUGCUGUACAAAAAGAAUCAGACUCUGAAAUAUUGUACAAUUAGCUUGUGAAGGAAAUCAAAAAUGCAGGUGGGCAUAAAUACAGGGAUUGGGAAUUCAAUGUAAUGGUUUUUAGUUAUCACCCAGAGUUCUUUCUCUGGGCGUAGCUGGUUCAGUUCAUUACUGCUCCAUUAGAACUGAUUUGGUUCAUCUCAUUGCUGAGGAUAGCCAGGUCCAUCAGAAUUGGUCAUCAUAUAGUAUUGUUGUUGAAGUAUAUAAUGAUCUCCUGGCCCUGCUCAUUUCACUCAGCAUCAGUUCAUAUAAGUCUCUCCAUGACUUUCUGAAAUCUUCCUGUUGGUCAUUUCUUACAGAACAAUAAUAUUCCAUAAUAUUCAUAUCCACAAUUUAUUCAGCCAUUCUCCAAUUGAUGGACAUCCACUCACUUUCCAGUUCCUGGCCACUACAAAGAGGGCUGCUACAAACAUUCGUGCACAUACAGGUCCCUUUCCCUUCUUUAUGAUCUCUUUGGGAUAAGGUUUUGCAAUUGUCAAUGCUGAAAAAUUACCCACUCAUAUAUCCUAUAAAUAAAAAAGUAUAAUAAAAAAUAAUGUCCUUAUAGCCCUUUUCUCUUGAGCUGUUGCUAAAGAUAAUUUUUUUUACUUCUUCCUCUCUCCUUGAAAAACUCUGUGGAUUUACCUUCUCUAUGUAGAGGCACUAAUUCUACUUUGCCAUUUGUAGUGUCUCUGAUUCUGCUUAUAUUUCCAUCUGCUUAGAAUAUUCAUGAGUGUGAUUUUUGCUAUUCAAAGAGUGGAGAAAAUAGAAAUAAUAUCUGCCAGAAAACAUAAAUAACUAUUCUUCUGGCCUAGAUUCUUAUGAAGAAGGGAAAUCCAUUUUCCUCUUAAAGUUGUUCAUAGAAAAUAAUAUCUUAUUGAGAUUAUGCUCAGAAUUCUUGGCUUGCUGAUAAUGAUAUAUGAUGAGUCUUGUUAUUUUUGUGGUAAGAAGUUUACCUAGACUAAAGUUGUUUUUCCCAAUUAAGACAUGCAGAAAAAACUCAGAUGGUGCUGCCAAGGACACACCUGCCACUGAUCUUGUGAUAUAGUCAUUGAGGCCUAAACCCUUCCUUAAAUUCAAAAUAACACAGUCUAUAUAUAAGAUCAUACCAGAGAGAUCAUGGAAUUACCAACUAAAAUAUGAUCUUCAUGAUCAUCUAAACCAUUGCUUCUUCUUAACCUGUGGUCAGUGAAUAUUCUUUUUCCUUUAAUAUUAGAUGGUCACUUAAUUCUUCAUGUAUCUGAAAGAUUGUCUAGACACAGAUAUCCUGCCAAAUUAUCCUCAUAUUACUCUGUUGAAUCAUACUUGAUAUUUUCUACUAAUAUUCCAUCUCUCUACCUAACCAUCUGUUGUUAAAGGAUUUCAUAUUUAGUUAUGAAUUUGACUCACAAGUUUCUGAAGUUGCUUCUAACUUGGACAUUCUGUGAUUCCAAUUUCAAUGGGAGUCAGACCAUAAUGUUGCAAUCAUGUUAGUAAUCUGUUAUCAUUUCUUCAUGAUUUUUGUACUAUCUUACUUUUUACUUCUUCAUAUCUAGCAUCAAGAUUUCUUGUGUUUCAGUGAUUAUUCUCUAUAGAAAAUCAAUUGUAAAACAUUGUUGAUCAGCAAAUGUCCUCCCUACUCUAUUAAUGGACUAGACUAAUUAUAUGUAGUAUGCAUAGCAUUAUGAAUGACAUUACCAUAUGUCUUGACACUUAUAAUAGUAUUUAUUUGCUAAUGAAAUAUCUAUGAUUAUAUGUUGACAUGAAUUAUUGUUUUAGAUGAAGAUGUGAACAUAAGAUUUGAGUACCUCAAAUUCACUGAAUAAGUUUUUUUUUUUUUAAUCAAGAAAACCCAGUAAAACUGCAACCUGACCUCAGGUUUAAAAAAAUGUCAUUGCCAAUUGUGAAUAAUAGUGCAUGUUUUCUUGUUGUGAAGUUAGACAGAUUCAAUACCUUGACAGAUUUUCAAAAUAUUCUUAGAUGUGAUUAGUUGUACUUGCCAAUUAUAUUUUGGCUAAUUUGCAAAUUCACUUUAGCUCAAUGAAUUGGUUAUAUCUUUGGAUUAACUUACCUUAAGUAAUUUGUCCAUAAAUGUAUUUUAAUAAGCUCACAUCUGUCAUCAGUUGUCUUCCAUCUCAUUGUCACGUUGCAGGAAGACAUCUUCUUCCCUAGUUGUUUUGUUUAAUCUAAUAUUGUUUUGCUGAUGUUUUGCCUUGGUAGAUUUUCCCUUAUUCCCUGAAUUAUUUCUAUUUUUAGUAUUUUUUCUAAUGAAGGCAAAAAUUCUCAGAUAUAAUUUUUGUUUUUUGUUUUAAAGUAUAUGUGGUCUUGUAUAGGGAGGAAAGUUUGAUCAAGGAAACUCCCUUUACCAUUGUGGAUUAACAAUUAUUGCUUUAAUGGAACACAUGACUAAUUAUACUUUUUGUUUUAGUGUAUGAAAAUGAAAAGAAUGAGAAAGAAGGAAAUAAAAAAAGGGAGCAGGAAGGAAUAUAGAGAACAUCAGUUAGAGGGAGAAAAUAUGUUGAGAUGUAGGAGCAAGACUCAGGAAAGUGUCAAUUAGAGUGAAAAGGGGCAACGUCUUUUGCCAGUCCAGAACUCAAGUCCUUUAACCUUCGACUACAGAUCUGCUUUGUCACUUUGGGUCCCAGUUGUUUUUCAACUUUUUGGCUGGUCAAAAUCUCCUUUCUUCUCACCUUGGACCCAGGGCUCUUUAUCUAAUCUAUACGGAAUUACCUCAGAGAAUUUGCCUAGUGUCCAAUAUGUGUUUCCAAAAGGUCUUUUCCUCUGUGUUGUGAUAGAAAUGACUUAGCUUAGUCAUUAAUAGUAUAAUGGACUGGUUUUAGGUUUUGAGGUUGUCCUUGCUUCUGCUUGAAGAAGGGGAUUUCAUGAGAAGACAGAGGAAGGUAACAGACACUGAAGUUCAAAAGAAAUUAAAC